UGACAAGGUCCUACAGCGUCUGUGUGU
rnacentral:piRNA from 1 species